rnacentral:rRNA from 1 species
AGUCGUAACAAGGUCUCCGUAGGUGAACCUGCGGAGGGAUCAUUACACAAAUAUGAAGGCGGGCUGGAACCUCUCGGGGUUACAGCCUUGCUGAAUUAUUCACCCUUGUCUUUUGCGUACUUCUUGUUUCCUUGGUGGGUUCGCCCACCACUAGGACAAACAUAAACCUUUUGUAAUUGCNAUCAGCGUCAGUAACAAAUUAAUGAUUACAACUUUCAACAACGGAUCUCUUGGUUCUGGCAUCGAUGAAGAACGCAGCGAAAUGCGAUAAGUAGUGUGAAUUGCAGAAUUCAGUGAAUCAUCGAAUCUUUGAACGCACAUUGCGCCCUUUGGUAUUCCAAAGGGCAUGCCUGUUCGAGCGUCAUUUGUACCCUCAAGCUUUGCUUGGUGUUGGGCGUCUUGUCUCUAGCUUUGCUGGAGACUCGCCUUAAAGUAAUUGGCAGCCGGCCUACUGGUUUCGGAGCGCAGCACAAGUCGCACUCUCUAUCAGCAAAGGUCUAGCAUCCAUUAAGCCUUUUUUUCAACUUUUGACCUCGGAUCAGGUAGGGAUACCCGCUGAACUUA